UACGUAGGGUGCGAGCGUUAAUCGGAAUUACUGGGCGUAAAGCGUGCGCAGGCGGCUUUGCAAGACAGAUGUGAAAUCCCCGGGCUUAACCUGGGAACUGCAUUUGUGACUGCAUGGCUGGAGUGCGGCAGAGGGGGAUGGAAUUCCGCGUGUAGCAGUGAAAUGCGUAGAUAUGCGGAGGAACACCGAUGGCGAAGGCAAUCCCCUGGGCCUGCACUGACGCUCAUGCACGAAAGCGUGGGGAGCAACAGG
rnacentral:rRNA from 1 species